GAAUACGUUCCCGGGCCUUGUACACACCGCCCGUCACACCACGAGAGCUUGCAACACCCGAAGUCGGUGAGGUAACCCGCAAGGGAGCCAGCCGCCGAAGGUGGGGCAAGUGAUUGGGGUGAAGUCGUAACAAGGUAGCCGUACCGGAAGGUGCGGCUGGAUCACCUCCUUUCUAAGGA
rnacentral:rRNA from 1 species